AAGGUCUUUAAGUAGGUGAUUAAGUUAAAAUGAGUCAUUAGAGUGGGCUCUAAUCUAAUAUGACUAGUGUUGUUUUAAGAAGAGGAAGUUAGGACACAGACACAUACCGAGGGAAGAUGAUGUGAAGACACAGGGAGAAGACAGCCACCUACAAGGCAAGGAGAGAGGCCUCAGGAGAAACCAACCGUGCCAACAUUUUGAUCUCAAACUUCUAGCCUCCAGAACUGUGAGGAAACUGAGGCACAGAGAGCUCAUGCAACUUUCCCCGAGUCUUCCAACUAUUGUCUGAAGGACUUAAACCCAGGAAGUUGGUUACUGAAUUUAUUGUCUAACCAGUAAGACAUACUGCCUUUUUGUGUGGAGCAUAGUGACCUGAGGAAACAUCUUUCUGGAAAGGUUCAAUCUUUCACAUUUGAAUGAUCCUUAUAUAUCCGCAAACUUUCCAGAAGACAACCUGUGGCUAUGUAUUUUUUCAGUUGGCUUGUGCAGCACUUCUCAAAGUGUGGUCAAUGGACUCCUGGGGAGAUCCUCUGUGGAGUCUGUGAGGAUCCCUCCACAGCAUGGCUGACGAGUGGAGUAUGUCUGCACCCAGGAUCCGAAACCCCAAACCCAGGCCACCAAAAUGGAGCAUGGAACUUUCAACUACUCGGCAACAGGGCCACCAGGAAAGAGCCUCUUCUUAAUUCUUCUACUGGCUUUCUUGGGAUUUGAGCGGUAGGACUGUGCUCAAACAAUUGGCCUGCUUUUUUAGAAACAUGUAAAUCCAAAACUCCAGGGUGAAGGCAGUUAAUCUCAGUAUGCCUGGUCUCUCUCUGGAUGAUUUCUUUCCAGAUUACUUUGGUAGAGAAAUCAGAUUUCUCAGAAAGUAUAUUCACUUGAUAUUGAAGAAAAAACAAAAGGAAAACACACCUACAAAAGUAUGCAGCUGAAUCAUUUAUUGAUUAAAUUUCCUAAUAAAACAUCCAAAUCCAAAUUGCC
rnacentral:lncRNA from 1 species